GAGUUUGAUCAUGGCUCAGAACGAACGCUGGCGGCAUGCUUAACACAUGCAAGUCGAACGAGGCGGAAGGGGGCAACUCCUUCCAGUCGAGUGGCGGACGGGUGAGUAACACGUGGGUAACCUGCCCGGAAGUGUGGAAUACCUCGGGGAAACUCGAGCUAAUACCGCAUGACAUCUUCGGGACGACAGUCCUGACGAUCAAAGCGGGGUCGCAAGAUCUCGCGCUACCGGAUGGGCCCGCGCCCGAUUAGCUAGUUGGUGAGGUAACGGCUCACCAAGGCUUCGAUCGGUAACCGGCCUGAGAGGGCGAUCGGUCACACCGGAACUGAGACACGGUCCGGACUCCUACGGGAGGCAGCAGUGGGGAAUCUUGCGCAAUGGGCGAAAGCCUGACGCAGCAACGCCGCGUGGAGGAUGAAGGCCCUUGGGUUGUAAACUCCUGUCGGCUGGGAAGAAAUCGUUCGUGGCUCAUACCCACGGACGUUGACUGUACCAGCAAAGGAAGCCCCGGCUAACUCUGUGCCAGCAGCCGCGGUAAUACAGAGGGGGCUAGCGUUAUUCGGAAUUAUUGGGCGUAAAGGGCGCGUAGGCGGCCAUGCGUGUCUUCCGUGAAAUCCCUCGGCUUAACUGAGGACGUGCGGAAGAAACUGCAAGGCU
rnacentral:rRNA from 1 species